rnacentral:rRNA from 1 species
UUAGGAAUAUUCGUCAAUGGGGGAAACCCUGAACGAGCAAUGCCGCGUGAGUGAUGACGGUCUUAUAGAUUGUAAAACUCUGUUGUAAAGGAAGAACCCUUAUUAUAGGUAAUGAUAAUAAGCUGACGGUACUUUACCAGAAAGCCCCGGCUAACCACGUGCCAGCAGCCGCGGUAAUACGUAGGGGCGAGCGUUAUCCGAAUUUAUUGGGCGUAAAGCGUGUGUAGGCGGUUUAUUAAGUCUAAGAUUAAAGCCUGGGGCUUAACCCCAGUUCGUUUUAGAAACUGGUAGACUUGAGUGUGGUAGAGGCAAGUGGAAUUUCUAGUGUAGCGGUUAAAUGCGUAGAUAUUAGAAGGAACACCAGUGGCGAAGGCGGCUUGCUGGGCAGCAACUGACGGUGAGGCGCGAAAGUGUGGGGAGCAAACAGGAUUAGAUACCCUGGUA